rnacentral:tRNA from 3 species
UAGACGGAAGCCUGUUGGUUGAGGCGCUUAGCUGUUAACUAGGAUGUUGUGGGAUCGAAGCCCACCUGUCUAG